CAUGCAGUCGAACGGAAAGGCCCUUCGGGGUACUCGAGUGGCGAACGGGUGAGUAACACGUGGGUGAUCUGCCUCGUACUCUGGGAUAAGCCUGGGAAACUGGGUCUAAUACCGGAUAGGACCUKCUCUCGCAUGGGGGUUGGUGGAAAGUUUUUCGGUACGAGAUGGGCCCGCGGCCUAUCAGCUUGUUGGUGGGGUAAUGGCCUACCAAGGCGACGACGGGUAGCCGGCCUGAGAGGGCGACCGGCCACACUGGGACUGAGACACGGCCCASACUCCUACGGGAGGCAGCAGUGGGGAAUAUUGCACAAUGGGCGCAAGCCUGAUGCAGCGACGCCGCGUGAGGGAUGACGGCCUUCGGGUUGUAAACCUCUUUCACCAGGGGCGAAUUAGGACGGUACCUGGAGAAGAAGCACCGGCCAACUACGUGCCAGCAGCCGCGGUAAUACGUAGGGUGCGAGCGUUGUCCGGAAUUACUGGGCGUAAAGAGCUCGUAGGCGGUUUGUCGCGUCGUUCGUGAAAACUUGAUGCUUAACAUCAAGCGUGCGGGCGAUACGGGCAGACUUGAGUACUACAGGGGAGACUGGAAUUCCUGGUGUAGCGGUGAAAUGCGCAGAUAUCAGGAGGAACACCGGUGGCGAAGGCGGGUCUCUGGGUAGUAACUGACGCUGAGGAGCGAAAGCGUGGGUAGCGAACARGAUUAGAUACCCUGGUAGUCCACGCCGUAAACGGUGGGUACUAGGUGUGGGUUCCUUUCACGGGAUCCGUGCCGUAGCUAACGCAUUAAGUACCCCGCCUGGGGAGUACGGCCGCAAGGCUAAAACUCAAGGAAUUGACGGGGGCCCGCACAAGCGGCGGAGCAUGUGGAUUAWUUCGAUGCACGCGARAACCYUAYCUGGGUUUGACAUACACCAGACGCUGGUAGAGAUAUCAGUUCCCUUGKKGUUGGRGUAMAGKGGUGCAUGGCUGUCRUCRCUCGUGUCUGAGWGUUGGUUAAGUCCCAMGARCGCAYCCUUGUCUGUAUGCAGCGGUUWGCGGKACUGCAGAAAYKCCGGGUYACUC
rnacentral:rRNA from 1 species